rnacentral:snRNA from 1 species
ACAGCUGAAGCUAACAAA